UUAAAAAGCUCGUAGUUGAACCUUGGGCCUGGCUGACCUGUCCUCCUAAUCGAGCGCACGGGUUCGGUCGGGCCUUUCCUUCUGGGGAUCCCGAUGCCCUUCACUGGGCGUCGUGGGGAACCAGGACUUUUACCUUGAAAAAAUUAGAGUGUUCAAAGCAGGCCUUUGCUCGAAUACAUUAGCAUGGAAUAAUAGAAUAGGACAGAGGUUCUAUUUUGUUGGUUUCUAGGGCCGCUGUAAUGAUUAAUAGGGAUAGUCGGGGG
rnacentral:rRNA from 1 species